CCUCUUGCUGUUAGUAAAGACUAAUUAAAAUGAAGACAUAUUGAAAUUAAUUAUGUCUACUUGAAUUUGCCUACUUUCAGCACCAUGAGCUGUCUGACUAUUGUGCCGCGGCUGCAGCUUCAAGUUUCAGCACAAUGUCAAUGACUUGAAUCUGGAUUAUUGUGAGGUCAAUAACUCAUAUGAAUAGCCUACAUCAUGGGCAAGAAACAUAUUGUUUUUAAUAAAAUCAAAGUUGACUUCCGGUCCUCCUUCUCAUCUUUGCGCUGUCCUUCUCAAACUGAACAAAAGAUAGGCUAUAGGCUAGUCUGCACGCAAUAUAGUAUUUUACUGGGUGACUUUCACUUUUACUUAUUUUUUUUUUUGGAUCUGCCUGGUCAGAGGCAGUAGGGAUGACAAGAGAUGUUCUUUGAUAAGACGUCACUCUGACCAACAGUGGAGUCCAGGCUGAAGAUGCAGGAGAUUACUACUGUCAGAGUUACCACAACAUCAAUAGUAAAGAUGUGUUCACACAGUGAUACAGAGCCGUACUAAAACCUCCCUCAGUCAGACUGCACAGUGACUGUACUGCUACAGCUGGGACCUACUGCAGGUGCUGAGGGGGAAGAGACAAUAACAUGGAACACGGGUCGGUAGAGGAGGUCAACUUUGAAUAUGUUAAAAAGCAUUAUUCAGAACACGUUCUCCAUCGUCAUCAUCAUCAUCAUCACCAUCAUCAUCAUCAUCAUCACCAUAACCUUCAUGUUUUUUAAGAUGGCGCCGAUAGACUUGAUCGCCGUGUUCCUGGCUCCUAAGCAACUUUGCAAUAUUUUGGGGUGUUGGGACAACCUGUCACAUUGUCCAAGGUGUGUUUGUGUUAUGAUAAACAAUGUGUUUUCUGUCCACAUAAAGAUUGUGAUACAGCAUUGAAAAAGACCCACCACUGACCAAAUGUCUCUUUGUUUUCCAGUCCAACAGGGAUGCAUCCUUCAGACCAUCCGGUGCAUGGAUAUCCUGUGUGAUCCGAGAGUGAGCGUCCAGUUGUGGAGACUGCAGCACAUCAAGCCUGUGGACGGCCAAGUCAGUACUCAUCAAAUAUGAUACAAUAUUGUGUAAAACAUUGAAUUUAUAGAUAUAUGGAGACGUUGACUUUAUGUCCCCUUUUCCCCAUGUUUUGGACAUGGAGCGUGACAUGCGGAACAUCAGGCUCACCCCACGUGAUCAACACCACCCUCAGCAAGAAGAUCUGCUGGAAGUGACGUACUCUCUCACUCUGGGGCGUCAGGUACAGGCAGGGAUGACUGGGGCCUUCAGCAAGUAAAACACAGGGGGAGGAGCAAUAUGAGUCUGUCAGAGGUCGUCACACUCGAUGGGGAUGUUGAUGGAAGUUUUUUAUGAUCCACACAACAAAGAAGUAGGUGUCACUUCUAGUGAUGUGGAGCUGACCUUGGACCUGGUGCCAGUAAGGAUAGUCUUCACAGAGGCUGCAAGGCCCUCCCUACUUGAUAUAGAAUUCCUUCAACAUCACUGUCCGUCAAUGGUAAGGUCCCUUGCACCAUAAAGACAGUUGACCUCCACCACUGCUGUGGUGCACACCAGACCAUCUGGUGAGGCACUGUUAGUUGGAUUUAUCUGUUAAUUGAAUGAUUAGAAUGUUCUGCCCUGAAACAUAUAAUUGUAUGGAAUUGAUUAGAAUGUAUAAAAUCAUAAUCAAUAAAUGUGUAGUCCUAGUCAGAAUUAGGGUAAAACAAUAUGCCUUUAUGGUAUUUUAAACACAGACUGUCUGAGCUCGGUGCCGACCUGAAUAGAGAUGUGGGAGAGAACGGGGAGUACGUCUCAAGGACAAGGUCUCCAUAAUCUCUGUCGGCUGGGUAGUGAGACAGUGUGUGCGUAGCAGGACAUUGUGUGCGUAUGUUUGUGUGAAUGUGUGUGCGUAUGGUUGCGUGAAUGUGUGUGCGUGAGAAGUCAGUAUAAAAUGAAUUGUUUUGUAUUCUUGACUUUAGAACAUUCCCGUGAAUAAACCUUUUUGACUAU